rnacentral:tRNA from 3 species
GAGCCGGUAGCUCAGCUGGUAGAGCAACGGACUUUUAAUCCGUAGGUCCUGGGUUCGAUCCCCAGCCGGCUCA